rnacentral:tRNA from 1 species
GAUUCCGUAGCUCAGCUGGUAGAGCAUCUGACUUUUAAUCAGAGGGUCCCAGGUUCGAACCCUGGCGGAAUCA